UUUAUCGUUUUCAAUUAUCUGAGAUCCAUAAAAGCUGACCCCUGCUCUCUGCUGUGCUGUCUGAACCACUGGAGAGGGAACGAGACCAAAUUGAAGUCCAACUGUGCUCCACCUUGAAAUCCAAACAGACCAUCAUCACUCUUCACAGACCUACAGGAGACCUGAUGUUUGGCCUAGAGGCACACAGCUGAUGACGAGUCCCUUUGAACACCGUGUGUAUCAACCUUACCCCCC